UAUCAAAAUACUUAUCAAAAUGACAUUUUUCCAUUUUCUUAAAAGUAAGUAAAAAAGGAGAUUUUCCAUUUCUUUAAAAGGAAGUAGAAUUUCUCUCGAAUGCAUAGUCAAGACAGUUGGUUCAGUGAGAAGUUACAUUGACUCUAACGGAUUGUUCCAGAUACUUUUUUAUUUGGUGUUAUGUCCUGCCUGCUUUCUAUUUGUGUGUUUUUCAUUCAAAUUCAUUCUUUCAUGUGACAUGUAAAUUAUCACAAUAAUAAGAAUUUCAAUCACAUUGAAACGGAUGUUGCAGUUUGAUACAUUAACCCAAUAUGUGAGUGUAAAAUUGUAGUAUAACAAACUCAACAAUGUUUCUGGCAUUCUAUAGUAAUGGAUAAAUAUUUUCACUAUAGGUAGAGCCCCAAAACAAAGUCUGCACUAGUGACAGCCAGCCUCACCGAGCAUAUUAAACUACAGUACUCAUGGCCACGUGAAUUAAAGUAUAUUGGCAAAAUGAUCAUAUGUACACAAACCGAAGAAAAUAAAGAAGAGAAAUGUGUUUGAGACAAGCAUGGAAACUGGAGAGGCAGUGUCGGAGAAAGAGUCAGAAGACAAGGCAACCAUUGAGAGCGCACGGGCAAUACCGAAUGCAGAGAACGGACAAAUCACAUAUGUUCCUGGGAUCAGUGGCGAAGAACUUGACAUAAAAACAGAGGAUGUUGCAGCAUGUAUCCUGAGCAUUGUCGAAAAGGCAUGUGCAAUAGUUCUCCAUGGUAGAACAGUCCAGAAACUAGAUCAGGAUGACGACAGUGUUAUGGUAGAAACAAAAAAUUGUGAACACUUCAGAUGCGAGCCAGGAAAUGGAAAAUGAGUGUCUACAGAAACCUGAGUUACAAGAGUUGAAACAGAAAACUAAGUUAGUCAAAAGUGGACUGGACAAACCUAGGGAGCUUACUGCAUUAGAAACAGAGAAAAUACAAAAGUUUAUUCCCCGAAAGCUGUUUCUAUCGAAUAUAGAAACCUUUAAGCUUGCACCCGAUACCCAGAAUUCCACCAAGAACAAAGAAGAGAAGACCAAGCCCGUGAAACCAAGGCCUGUACAGUAUAGUUUCCUCUGCACCACGGGACUUUCUCCUGCAGAAGAGCCCCGCGUGGUGAGACCGCGGAGAACAUGGAGGGAUCGCAUUCUCAGAUUUUUGGAUUUAAAAGAUGGACAUUUUCAAAAUUAUGAAAAUAGAAACGUGAUUUUAAAGAAUGUUUGGUACUUUGCAAACGUAUUACGUAUGUUCAUGGUGUUCUGAUAUGGAUUAAUUGGUACUCUACAAGUGUAUUAUGUAUCUUCAUGGUGUUCUAAUGUGUAUUAUGUAUGUUCAUGGUGUUCUUAAAUGGAUUAAAUUUGUUUUCAAACUGUUA